CAAAAUGGGAAGCGCUUGUGUCCACAGACGUCAGCUCGUAAUCUACUGCGAUCCUCGAGCCUGAGUGGCUGCGAGCUGUCACCUCCAAAUCUUUGAAUACCACAUUUUCCCUUGAUUUCUUGUUACCGUUAGAAAAAAGCGGACAUCCCAGAGUUGGAGAAAUACCUAAGGACUCUGAGUUUACUCAAGGAAAGCGUUUUCCUCAGCUGGGUGAACUCCGAACGCCUUUGCCGGCUCAGCUGGCGGUUAUUAACCGGUCUGAGUUCAGGAAAAGCGGUUUUCGUCAGAGCCAUUCUCUAUUUCUUACCGUCCGCAGCUGUUUGUUUUUUAACACUGGGUAAGCGGGAAUCCGUGUACCAGUUGGAACUUGUGCAGCUGGGCCUCUGUGGAACAUCGAUAGCAACGUGGAUGGGAUAUUGCUCCUUGCGGCAGAAGGUUGCCAGUCAUAGGGUUUCUGUCACUCAUCUUUACUGUCUGUCACAUGCUGGACUACACAAAUGGAAAAAAUGAAAGAAGGUCUCCGAUCUCAAAGCUCACGCCCUGGGAGCGAGACCCACCCUGAAACAGAUAAUCCUGUUAAACUGUGGUAAAGGCCAAGUUAUAAGUUGUGAGAGGAAGGAACCGACUUGGCCUGCCAUGUUGAGGAAAUCUCCACCAGGGAAUGACAUUUGAGCGGAAUCUUGAAGGAUGGAGCAUUGAAAGAGGUAGUUUCAGACAAGACCACCAGCGGAUGCCAAAACAUAUAUCUCUGCUGCUUGUGUCCUGGGUUGUUCUGCUUCACUUCCGGCUGUCAUUAUUAGAAGGUGAAAGUUGAAUAAAUGCUGAAAUUGGCUGUGGUUGUUUGCAGGGAAUCUGCAUAUCAUGAAUGACCUUAUCAGGUAUGGGAUUCUGAGUUGUGAGCCUCAGGCAGAGACAUUAAGUCACUGCCAGUACAGAAACCAGGACUAUUCUCCAUGUGAGCUCAAACUUAAAGAUGAGGAUUUUUCUGGACUGGAACCUGAAAGCCAUUUUAUUCUUAAAUGCUUCUGAUGGUUCUCAUUUAUACAUCUUCACAAAUAUGUCUUAUCUUGGAGCCUCCUGUGCCCACCCUUUUCCCCUGGGAUCCCAAGAGAGGGAGAAAAUAUGUAACCUGUGAAGAUUUGUGCCAAGAAAGCUACAAAUGUUAAAAUUUGGCCAUAGUCCUUUCAAAGAGAUAUGUGAUCUCUUAUCCCAAAAGAAAAGUGUAUAGCGUGAAACUAAUGGAUCAUAUGCCCCCAAGCUCUUUUGAUAUUACUGUGAGUUUACAUGAUUGAGAAAAUUAUCUUUUUUUUUUAAACAGAAAAUGAAGCCUUAGGAUAAGAAUUGCUAAAACAAAAUAAUUGAUUUUAAAACCUAACUUAAUUCUAAAUACUGGGCUUUGUCUGGGAUGAAGUUGAACUAAACCCAAGAGGCUCAUAGUUUAAGGUGUUGACCUAAAAUAAAUGUUAGUCAUUUCUCCAGCAAAAAAAAAAAAAAGAAUUACAGUUCAGGAUCUGCAACCAUGGUGAGCAACAUGUAAGUCUU